rnacentral:misc_RNA from 1 species
UUUCCGUAGGUGAACCUGCGGAAGGAUCAUUCAUAAUAAGUGUUUUAUGGCACUUCUUUAAAUCCAUACCCACCUUGUGUGCAUUGUCAGGGUUGAUUUUUCUCUCGAGAGGAUCAACCCCAAACAUCAACUAUAUCUCAACUCUUUGUCUGAAAAAUAUUAUGAAUAAAACAAUUCAAAAUACAACUUUCAACAACGGAUCUCUUGGCUCUC